rnacentral:piRNA from 2 species
UCAAUUGCUGGAUGGUAUUGUAAUGAAUGG